CCUACGGGAGGCUGCAGUGGGGAAUAUUGGACAAUGGGCGAAAGCCUGAUCCAGCCAUGCCGCGUGUGUGAAGAAGGCCUUCGGGUUGUAAAGCACUUUCAGUGGGGAAGAAAGCCUUGGGGCUAAUACCCUCGAGGAAGGACAUCACCCACAGAAGAAGCACCGGCUACACUCCGUGCCAGCAGCCGCGGUAAUACGGAGGGUGCGAGCGUUAAUCGGAAUUACUGGGCGUAAAGCGCGCGUAGGCGGUCUGAUAAGCCGGUUGUGAAAGCCCCGGGCUCAACCUGGGAACGGCAUCCGGAACUGUCAGGCUAGAGUGCAGGAGAGGAAGGUAGAAUUCCCGGUGUAGCGGUGAAAUGCGUAGAGAUCGGGAGGAAUACCAGUGGCGAAGGCGGCCUUCUGGACUGACACUGACGCUGAGGUGCGAAAGCGUGGGUAGCAAACAGGAUUAGAUACCCCAGUAGUC
rnacentral:rRNA from 1 species